UUUUAUUUUAUUUUGCAUUUAUUUUGCAUUCAUUUCAAAUUUUAAAUUUUAGUUUUAUUGUAUUUCCAAAUUUAGGGGGAGAAUUAAAACCAAACAAAAAUCAUAAAAUUAAAAAAAAAAUCCAAAAAUAUGUUAAUUUAUGUUUUUAUUUAUUUUUCAGAAAAUUCAAAAAAAUCCAAAAGCAUUGUUUUGAGCGUAUUUUAAGACAAAACUGCAAAUUUGGUCCUUGUGGUUUGGCAAAACCUUUGGAUGGGGUCCAAAAAGUUUCUAGCUUGCACCAAAGGUCCAAAAUCAAGGUUUUCAUGGGUUUUUAGUCCAUUCCGUCAUUGACCGUUUGUUUGGGGCCGUUAGUGCCUUCACGUGCCCUCCAUGUGAGGGCAUUUUGGUCAUUUUACGUACUUAUUUUAAAUAAUAUCAUAUUUCUCCUUUAUAUACAUACUCAUACGCAAUCCUCUUCUUCUUCUUCAUUUUUAUUUACAGAGAAGCAACAAAAAGGGCUUCUUCUUCGUCUCUCAAAGGAUUCUUCUUCUUCGUGUCUCGUCUACUUCUACUGCUACGAGAUUCAAAAAUGGUGCUCUGCUUCUGUGGGAACGUUGCUGUUGUGCGAACCUCAUGGACUUCACGAAACCCUGGUCGUCGUUUCUAUGCAUGCCCUAAAAUGGGAUCCAGAUGUGGAUUUUUGGGGUGGUUCGAUCCCCCUAUGUGUCAAAGAUCAACUGUUAUCAUACCAGGACUGUUGAGAACAAUGAAUAGGUAUGAGGUUGAAGUGGGCCAGCUGAAGAUGUGUUUGCUUGUCUCGUGGGUUUUGUUUCUGUUGUUUGUGCUGUUUUGGAAAUAGGAAUUAGAGGUUAGGACUUUUUUGUUGGUAGUAACCACUUAAAAAUGUGGUCUUUUGGUGCUAGAAGGUUUAAUUGUGGUUUAUAUAUGUUUUUGUUGGUAGUAACCACUUAAAAGUGUUAUCUUUUGGAUCAUUGUAUAUGUAAUGCUUUUAUGACAAUGGGAAGUGUAAUGGUUUUAUCCUUUUAUGAAUAUGAAAUUAUAAAGGUUUGAUCUUGACAGA